UAAGGAAUAUUGGACAAUGGACGGAAGUCUGAUCCAGCCAUGCCGCGUGAAGGAUGAAGGCGCUCAGCGUUGUAAACUUCUUUUGGAUAGGAACAAACCUCCCGAUGCGUUGGGAGCUGAGGGUACUAUCAGAAUAAGCACCGGCUAACUCCGUGCCAGCAGCCGCGGUAAUACGGAGGGUGCAAGCGUUAUCCGGAAUCACUGGGUUUAAAGGGUGCGUAGGCGGUGGCGUAAGUCAGUCGUGAAAUUCCCCGGCUUAACCGGCGGGCGUGCGAUUGAUACUGCGUUACUUGAAUUAGGUUGAGGUAGGCGGAAUGCGACAUGUAGCGGUGAAAUGCAUAGAUAUGUCGUAGAACACCGAUUGCGAAGGCAGCUUGCUGGACCUAAAUUGACGCUGAGG
rnacentral:rRNA from 1 species